UUCACUUGCUUUAGUGGGAUGGGUUCGAUACUUGGGAGUGGCAUAUCUCCAUAUUUUUUUUAAUGCUUACUAUUUAAUUUUUUUUUUCAUAUCUUAUUGCUAUUUAGUUUAUCUUUAUAUUUUUAUCAAUUUAAUUUGAUCGUUAUUUAGUUGUUUAUAUUUUUAAAAGUUUACCCUUUUAGAUUUAAUUAAUGGUUGAAUUUCCGAUAUGGUUUUUUUAUUCGAUUAGUCGAUUUUUGUGUGUUAAUUAAUUUAGUUAGGUUAUUAGUACCCAUGUCCAUACUUUUACACAUGUAAAUAAUCACAUUCAACA
rnacentral:lncRNA from 1 species